rnacentral:tRNA from 1 species
GGGUGGGUAGCUCAGUGGUUAGAGCUUAUUAUAGGCCUCGUAACCGAAAGGUCGCGGGAUCGAAUCCCAUUUAUUUCU